UACGGAGGGGGCUAGCGUUGUUCGGAAUUACUGGGCGUAAAGCGCACGUAGGCGGCUUUGUAAGUUAGAGGUGAAAGCCCGGGGCUCAACUCCGGAAUUGCCUUUAAGACUGCAUCGCUAGAAUUGUGGAGAGGUAAGUGGAAUUCCGAGUGUAGAGGUGAAAUUCGUAGAUAUUCGGAAGAACACCAGUGGCGAAGGCGACUUACUGGACACAUAUUGACGCUGAGGUGGCGAAAAGCGUGGGGAGCAAAGCAGG
rnacentral:rRNA from 1 species